AUUGAACGCUGGCGGCAUGCUUUACACAUGCAAGUCGAACGGCAGCGCGGGCUUCGGCCUGGCGGCGAGUGGCGAACGGGUGAGUAAUACAUCGGAACGUGCCCAGUAGUGGGGGAUAGCUCGGCGAAAGCCGGAUUAAUACCGCAUACGACCUGAGGGGGAAAGCGGGGGAUCUUCGGACCUCGCGCUAUUGGAGCGGCCGAUGGCAGAUUAGCUAGUUGGUGGGGUAAAGGCCUACCAAGGCGACGAUCUGUAGCUGGUCUGAGAGGACGACCAGCCACACUGGGACUGAGACACGGCCCAGACUCCUACGGGAGGCAGCAGUGGGGAAUUUUGGACAAUGGGCGAAAGCCUGAUCCAGCAAUGCCGCGUGUGUGAUGAAGGCCUUCGGGUUGUAAAGCACUUUUGGCGGGAACGAAAAGGACUGUGCCAAUACCACGGUUCGAUGACGGUACCCGCAGAAUAAGCACCGGCUAACUACGU
rnacentral:rRNA from 1 species